UGACCUGAGCUGAAGGCAGAUGCUUAACUGACUGAGCCACCUAGAUGCCCAGGUAAAUAUACAUUUUUAUCCUCACAUAUCUUCUUGGGCAUAGCCCGUAUGUUUUAUACUGAGUGACUCCCCUCUUUGAGAUGUGACAGUGAACUCAAUCAUAGCUUACAUGUGGCGUGUACCACAUGUACUAAGUAAUCUGGUGGCCAGUCAUUUUUGUAGUAACAAUUACUACUUCUUGACAUAUCUCUUUAGCUAUUUUAAUUUUUAACAUUAUUGUCUUAAAUGAAAGACAUCAUCUAUAUUCAGAGAAUGAGUUCUCAAAUUAGUGUGCAUGAGAACUACCAGGAAAGCUUAUUAAAGUACAGAUUCCCAGGCCACAGUCCCAGAUGUUCUGAACCAGUAGAUCUGGCAUAGGAUAUGCAAAUUUGAAUUUCUAAUGCACUCCCAGGAGAUGUUGAUGUUAUUUGGCCCAUAUACUGAGUUUCACUGGAUUGGAUUAUCAGUAAAUAUUUAUUCACAGCUGAACAGCUGCCUGUAGCUUGGUAUGUUCUUUUGUCAAAAAUAUUUUUUCAGCUCUUCUGAUUGUAUUGGGAAAAGGACCUCUGUUUGGUACAAGUCAUUCUUAUAAAUUUUAUUAUGUAUAGCAUUUCAUACUGAUUAAACACAGUGUGAAAUGUACACAGUACACAGAUUUGUAUAAUGCCUGUUACUUAUGAAAUACAAUAAAAUAAGCACUUAUGAAUCCAUAAAAUCUUACAUAUCAUUUAUUUAGAAUAAGUCUAGGACUAUGCAUUUAUUUAUAUUAUGAUAAAUGGUUCCUUUUUGGAUUAUAGUUUCUGGUUUUUGGCUGCUGGUUUACAGAAAUGCAAUUGACUUUUAUAUCUUGAUCUUGUAUACUACCAAUUUCCCUGACAUUUUUAUGUUAAUUAUUAUGAUUAUUACUAUUAUGUUACACUUGAUCUUAGCCAAAAGGCCGAGAAGCUUAUUAUUACUAUUAUGUUAAAUUUUAUUUUAUUUUUUCAGUGUUCCUAGAUUCAUUAUUUAUACACCACACCCAGUGCUCCAUGCAAUACGUGCCCUCCUUAAUCCCCACCACCAGGCUCACCCAACCCCCUACCCCCUCCCCUCCAAAACUCUGUUAGUUUCUCAGAGACCACAUUCUCUCACAGUUUGUCUCCCUCUCCGAUUCCCCCUCUCCGAUUCCCCCCCCAACCUUCACUUUUCCUUUCCUUCUACUAAUGUCCUCCACGUUUCCUUGUGCUCCACAAGUAAGUGAAACCGUAUGAUAAUUGACUCUCUCUGCCUGACUUAUUUCACUCCAGUCCCAUCCAUGUUGAUACAAAAGUUGGGUAUUCAUCCUUUCUGAUGGAGCCAUCAUACUCCAUAGUAUUUAUGGACUACAUCUUCUUUAUCCAUUCGUCUGCUGAAGAUUUUGAGAUCCAGUACCUUAAGCUUACAGCACAUCUCAGUUUUUGGCUAGUGGCUACCGCAUUGAGCAGUGCAGAUUUAAGAUAGUAUGUUUCUGUGGAUCAAGAAAAUUCCCUUCUAAUCUUAGUCUGCUGGAAUGUCCAAUUCUUGCCCUCAAACAUUGGAGCUUCUGGUUCUCAGUCCUGGUUUUCCAGCUUGCAGACAGCAAAUUGUGGGACUUCUUGGCCUCCAUAAUUAUAAGAGCCAAUUCCUAUAACAAAUCUCCUGUACUUACAAAUACCCUAUUGGUUCUGCUCUGGAGAACCUAAGCCAGCAGAGAGCAGCGUCAGAAGAAAUCAAACCUGCCUCAUCUUCAUCUGGGACUUCCCAGCCUCCACAACUUAGAGUGACCACAUUCCAGGAGGCAGAAAGGACGUCAUCUACCUCCAACCACCGAGUACACUGCAGUGGCGAAGCAGCAGGUAAACGUGGGAAGAAACGACCGUUCGGAGAAAGGAGGGUGGGGGAUGUGGUGGUUGCCGGCCCGUCGCUAUCAUCAGAGUCUGCUUGUGGACGUGGGGAGGACUCUGGGCCCGAGCACAGGGGUGAGCUCGAUGGUCGGUCAGUCUGGAAAUUCCCGAUUUGACUCUGCUUUCUGGGAGAAUCUCUCUUGUCCAUUGUCCUCUGUGGACCUGGAUCUUUCCUCUCCAAAGCGAGGAUUAUGAUGGAUGCACUUCUAGGAGUUCGCCCAGCUUUCGAAGUCCGCUUAUUUUGGUGGGCGUUUGAGUGCCCUGAGAUUACUCCAGCACUUGAAAGCUGUUACAGGCCAGGCUUGGGGCUCCUUUGACCAAUUUCUUCUAUUCAGAUUUGCGGGUCUGCUUUCUGUUUGCUUCCAGUCAUUUCCACACAUAAGAAACAACAGCUAAAGAUCUUGGGAAGACGUGCUUUUUACACGUGAAAAUUCUGAUCUUUUUCCUACAGCCUUCGGUGCUAUCUUUUUAGAUGGCUCCUGCUGUGAGGAAAUUUGAGAAAUUGCAAACUCCAUCUGCGACAGAAGCUUUCUACUUUUACAUGAUAGUAGCACUGAUUUUACUCUGCUUGUAGGGCCUUCUGGUUGGAGUAUAGCAGCAGUCAGCUUUCUUAACUCUGCAAGGCUACAAACCGUGGGGUUGUGGCAGACGGCAUUCUCCCCAAGUGGGUGCAAUGUUACCCCCAAUCCUCCGUGCUCUUCCUACAACCUUACCGUGACACCUCUCCUCAUGAAUGAUGGGUUCCAAGCUCCUUCCCCAAACAUCUGGGUUGCUAUGGCUACAGCAGAAGUGGCAUUUUGUGACUUCCGAGGAUAGGUCAUAAAAAAAAGAUUCCGGGGGCGCCUGGGUGGCUCAGUGGGUUAAGCCGCUGCCUUCGGCUCAGGUCAUGAUCUCAGGGUCCUGGGAUCGAGUCCCGCAUCGGGCUCUCUGCUCUGUAGGGAGCCUGCUUCCUUCUCUCUCUCUCUCUGCCUGCCUCUCAGUGUACUUGUAAUUUCUCUCUGUCAAAUAAAUAAAUAAAAUCUUUUUUAAAAAAAAAAAAAGGGAUUCCGUUUCCUUCUGUGCUCAUAGGAGCCCCACUCCCGGAGUUGUGAAACAGCCCAGGUCGCAUAGAGAAGCCGGGUAUAGCUGUUCUGGACAAUAGACCCAGCUGAGGUUCUAGUAAUGGCUUCCAUCAGCUUCCACUUAUAAGAAUGGUUGGGACUAUUUAAUCAAAUGAAAUAACAAUAAAAAUGGUCACUUUCACAUAAU